rnacentral:lncRNA from 1 species
UCUACCAAGGGUGACCCACGCCUGCAACAGACAGAAGAACUAGCAAUAAGCACUGGAAUAAAGUAGUGUACAUUCUAGUGAUAGUAGAAAUUGACCGUUCCCUAAGAACCAGAAGCUUGCAGUCAACUGCCUUUUAGUCUAAGCUUCAUUUUCCAAAGCUGUAAAUAGUUUGGAUUAUGGAAACGGAAUAGAAAAAGAGAGUGCCUUUUGCUUGAUCAUUCCAUCAAGCUCUCUAAGCUUAACUAUGCACGCAAGUAUGACCAGGAAGUUCAAAGUGCAAAGCUGCUUCUAUCAUGAGGUAGCUUGUCGGUACACCACUAAUUACCUAUCUUAACCUCUAAAGCCAGUAAUUUAUUACCAAGUGAAGACAUAGAAGCAUUGAAUUUGCCUAGUCUAGGGAAUAGAUGCAGGAAGAGGUAGAACAGAAAGGAAGUAACAUGCACAUUGGGGUGAACAAUUAAGGCUGAAAUCCAGAGGACUUUGCACAUGAAAACUAGCCCAUGACACUUAUAGCCAGUUGAAGUUUGACAAAUUAGUCUUAGAAGUAUUGAAACUGAAUAGAUCACAGAUAAAAAAUAUGUUACAUUGUUCAUCAGGAUCCCCCAUGAUAUUAAGCAAGGAUGGUGAGGGUUCCCAAUUAUUGCAGUGCACUAAGAGUUGCGUUUACAUCCCUAAAGCAGGUAUAUUAACAACAGGUGAAACAAUAGUAAAACUGAAUGAUCAACAGUUUCACACACCUCACCCCAGCUUGGUUCCAACUCAGUUGCACCUGCUCAAACAGGAAGCAGGUUUCAUAUGAGUCAUGAAAUAUAUCAUCUGAAGUUAUUUUAUACACAAACACAGAUCAAUGACUUAAGAGGGCAUUAGUGACCAUGAAAGUAGGCUAAAAUCCAUCUUUGAAUAUCUAUAUGCCAGAUAUAGAUUUACAAGUGGAAGAAUGUGUAAAAGAAAAAUCUUCCAAUGCCAAGGAAAAGAUAAGUAAAAAAUAAACUUCGUCUUGCUCUAGGUUCCCACAUUCGGCUGUUAUCAAGAUCAUAAUUGAAAUGAUAUAUUUGCCAGAUUUGUCCAUAACCUUAAAGAUGAGUCAAAAGUAGGCACUAAGAAGCUUCAGAGCAUAAAAGUAGGUGCAUUACCUUUCAUGAGAUAUAACAUUGAAAAUAAAUCCAAGUAAAAUAUGUUUGUGAAUUGACUCUCAGCAUAAUUUGCUCAGGAAAUGAGGAGAAUUUCAUUCGAAUUAAUGUGAGUGUCAAAACAUACGAGUAGCAGCUUGCAGCGCCUUCCAUGUUUCUCCAAGUUCAAGCAAAAUUUGAGCCUUCUGUUCAUGCAGAAUGGCACGAUCUGGCAUCAAAAGUAGAGCAGAUUCCCACUUUCCAAGUGCUUCACGAUAUUUCCCUUCCUUCAAAAAAAAGAAAAGAAAAGAAAAGAAAAGAGACUUAACCCCGGCUUCUGGAUCAUGCUGUUGGAAUUUGGAAAUGAUAUCAACAAUCAAUAAAGUGUUCGAAAUCACUCAUCCAAAAAAAAUAUUCCUCGAGGACUCAAUGAGGGUUUGAGUGACCAAAUGUGGUAAGAGUCUCACACCCUUAUCCAGAGAUAAAAAAGAUCCUUGCAACAUAGAUAUUGAGGUUUGCAAAAGAGGUCAUGUGUGCAUAGCCUCACUCUCUGAACCGCAACCAGGCCAUCUGCAAGAGAACUUCUGACAUCCAACUCACCUCAACAUAUACUGUUUUUAGAAAUAAACUGGUAAUGCAGUAUUCCUCAGCAUUUAGGAUAUGUUGGAGACCUCCAAAAAAGGUUCUCACCUCAACAUAUACUUACUUACCAAUGUGUUCUCUUGUUAGUGUAAUUUUUGGUACUAAAAAUCUGUAUAUAGCCUUAACUUUUUAUUCUAUGCGGAGGCUAUUUUAAGGCUUCUUUUCAACUUCAGAGCCACCAUAAAUAAAGUUAGCAUUGUGUUUAGCCUCAGCUAUCAGUAUUAAUGCAAAAUGUAGUACAACCUUACCUUUAUAAGCAACUGUAUUAAGUCUUACUUUCUGCAGUAGAUUUACCGUUGUGCUUAGCGUUGCCUUAAAGUAUCAUGCAAAAUAUACUUCAUAUUGAGGUCAUUUCACACUCAACUUACCAUCGCGCUAAAGCUCAUCUUUAAGAUAAGAGUAUGAAACAUCACUAAAUCCCCCUUCCUCCUCAAAAAAAUGUGUUAGUUAACAUGACAAGCAGCUGUGCAUAUUCUUACUUUCUACAAUACAAAGAAGCUAGUUUCAAGACUCAACUCUUCACUUCAGUUCAUCCUCUUACAGUUAACUUACAGCAACUUUGACGCCCGACAAGUGGUGGUGCAAACUGCAGUACAACCAUUUGGCAAAUAGCCUUCCUAUUCACAUAGCAAGGUAACUAUUUGAAAGACUGAACUUUUGACCUCCAACUCACAACUCCAAACUUUAAUGACACAAUUAAUUUCUAAGGGGUUGUUUGGUUUGCAAAUACGUUAACCCAGGAUUAUAAUAUAUAUACACUUCUUUUUGUAGAUGUUUGAUUCAUUGAGAGCAUAAUAUAAAACAUGGGAUUGAUUUUACAAUAGACAAACUUUUAUUAACAAUUUUAACCCUGGCACUCUUAAAAAACUUUGGGAAAGAGCUUUUGCGAAUAACAUUUUUGUCAUUUGAUUGCUUUGUCCCGAACAUCUAAUCCCUGGAUUGUUAUCUCGCAUCGAACGUCAUUUAAAAAUAAUACUAAAACGUGGUACAACUAAUCUGAGAAAUGCUUAUACCAAAAACAACCAAACAGGGGAUUAAAUAAUCCUGCAUUGAGUGCAUUCUAUCCCUGGAUUUUUUUUUUUUUUAUCCCAUGAGCCAAAUGACUCCUAAUAUUUUUUUUGGGUGUAAUAAGGUUUACAAAUCUGGAGUCAGGGCAUGCACCAGCCCUCAACAAAGAGUUACCCUGGGUUUAUAUAAUGCCCAACAAAAUGAAUUGUUGGCAGCAGGAAACGAUAUAGGCCUUUCAGGAGACAACAUGCGAUCCUUACCUAUAAAUCAUUUGUCUUGAUUAUCGUUACAUGUAAGAAGUUCAAUGAUCAAACACAAGAUGCUCGAUUUACCUCAAGAGACAUAAAUUGCUACAUUAAAAUAUUCACCUACUUACUUACAAUGACUUCUUCCUCCUAAGAGCUUACUGAAGCAAAAAGUAAUAUGUUGAAAUCUUAUUCAUCCCAAAAGAAGAGGAAACAAGGACAAACAUAUGGAAGAAAACAAGCUAUCUAGUUAAAUAUGUAAAUCCAAUACACGUCUAUCAAUAGAACAACUACUUUAAUUAAGUUCAGUAAUCAGAUGAAAUAAAAACCUCCCUAAUACUAACAACACGCCCAGCCUGCCUUAUUCUGGAGUUCCUUAGAAGAUAUAGAGUUACUACUGAUGUGAAGUAAGAAGAGGAAAAAGGAAGAAGAAAAGAGAAAGAGGAAGUGACAGAGAAAUAGAGAUUAAGAGAGACAAUGAUGGAAAGAAGGGAAUAAAAAGGUGGGACGACAAUGCACCCAAGGGUUGAGGAGCCAACAAAGACCAUGGUAUAUGCGGUUUUAAUGAAGCCGAGGCAAAAAGUUUGGUGAUUCCUUUCCAUUUGCUUAAACCUCGACGAACAACAUUAAUAUGUAUGAAUGUAGGGAUCAGUCCAAUACUCGAAAUGCAUGAACAUUAGUCCAGACACCACUAUUACCUCAGGCUAACCAUAAUACCAACUUAAUUCCUAAAUACUCAAGUAAAUGAAGGCUAAAUAAGAAUGAUAAACAACUUAGAACUAUUGAAAUUACUAAUACUCCUUUAGAACAACACUAGAAAAAACAUAACAUAAUCUUUUACUUUAUUUCCAACUAAUAAAUAUAGAUACUAAACAAUAUCAAGUGAUAACCAUACCAUCUAACAGCAAUUUGCUAAAACUAAUCAACAAUCUAUUUUUAAAAAAAAAAUUUAUGCUCAUAUAAUAGAAAGAACAAACAACAACUGUAAAUUAUACGCACUGAAUAACCUCAUACAGAUUGAAAAGGAGAAAAAUUAAAUAAAAUACAGAAAAAAGAAGAGAAACCCAUGUGAGGAAAUACCUCAGCAAGCUUAUUUCCUUGUUGUUGAAAGGACUCAACAAGCUUGAAUGUAUCGUUAUCAUCAUCUCCUUUAACAUUAGAAAUCUCUUCGUUUUUAGGAAGUUUUUCCUCGGGAAAAAUGGAAUCGUCAGUAGGAUCGAAAGGGAGGUUUUCGAAUUGGGAAAUAGGUCUCUUGUUAGGGUUCUUCUUGCUCUGAUUCUUCCAUGUCAUCUUCAUCUUCUUCUUCGAGCUGUUUCACUGUUUUGGUUACCACCUGAAUCAAAAGGUUAAUUUCAAACAACUUUUAUCUCUAUAGCAAAAAGACUCCCUCACUGAAACUUUGACAUAAUAAUUUAUGUUUAUGAGAUAACAUUAUUUCAUUCUAAUUUACCUGAUAUCUUUUUAAUUUCAAAAUUUAAACCAGUGUUAACUUUUUAAAAUUAUUAAUUAUUGUACCUAAAUUUAUGAUCGAAGUUAAAUUAUUUUACUUUGAAGAUUCAAAAGAAGAAGAUUUAUUUGGGGUCAAAUUAAAGGAAUGGAAUUUUAAAUAUUUAUCAUAUUAAAGAUAUGGAAUUUUAAUCAUUUUUAGGGAAACUUAAAAAGAUGUACUUUUUUCAUAUUUAAUUAACAAUUUUACCAAUUAUAUAACGUAUUUUUUUACCCAUUAUAAUAUAAAACUAUCAUGAUGGGUAGAUUUUAUCGUUUUUAUAGGUAAAAUUUAUAGAAAAACAAUAUGUGCUUGUUCAGAUUUUUAGAUUGGAAGCAAAAGUUUAUCAUAAAAAAUAAAGCUAUCAAUUUGAUGAGGGAAAAUGACCAAAAUAUCUUUACUUUUCAAUUUAAUGACAAAUAACCAGACAUAUAAAAAAAUAUCAAAAAGUAAUAGUUAAAGUUUGAUAUUUUUUAAAUUAAUAAAUAUUUGAUAUAUAUAAAUUAAAAUAUUGAGAAGUUGGUGAGAGUGUUUAAGCUUCGUGGUAGUUCAAUAAUUUUCAUCAACCAAAUUACUAUUUACUACUAUUACAUUGCAUUAUUGACGUUAAAAAGUAGUUCUUUGAAAUAUUUGUCAAUAAAUUCAUAUUACUUCAAUGACAAAUACAAUUUUGUGCUAUGUAUAUUUUUAAUGAAAAUUAUAAUUCACGCUCUUAAUUAUGGAUAUACAUCACACAUAUUUUCAAUUUAUUGACAUUAAUGUUUCAUAAGUUCAGUCAAUAACUAGAAGUAUUUAAAUUUUUUAUUAAGUGUAGUGUUCAAUUGGUAAAGUCAUGAAAAAAAAUGUCUAAUUAAUAAUCUGUGUCAAAUAUAAAAAUUUCUCAAAUCAUUCAGCUUAAUAAAAUAAAAAACAAGAUAACAGAACAAUAACAAUGACAAAGAGAUAUAUAUGCUUUUAAGAAACACAAAUAAUCCACAAAAAUUUACAAUGAAUUCCCUAUAUGCCUUACCUACACAAAAAAAAAAUAAAAAAAAAUAGACAAAACAAAAUAUCAAAACACGGUAAACGAAUUAAAAAUAAAAUUUAAGAAGAAUUGGCCCACACGCUUAUUACAUUAAUUAAAAAAUUUACGUAUUAUUUCUCUAAUACCAUCAAUACACAUUUUAAAACACAUUAAGCCUAAUAUUUGAGCUCGAGAUAUUUUUUCAUGUAAAAAUUAUGAUAGGGACAUUUUUGUUUUAUGAAAACUACGAUCUACAUAUAUAUAUAUAUANNNNNNNNNNNNNNNNNNNNNNNNNNNNNNNNNNNNNNNNNNNNNNNNNNNNNNNNNNNNNNNNNNNNNNNAUUCAUAAUCAAAAUAAAAUAUGUUGACCCUCAUACUAACUCUGCACCCCUUCACAUAAAUUGAAACAGAAAGAGUAGUACUGAAUAAAAUUACUCAGAUUUUAGCAACUAAUAAGAUUAUAAUUAUAAAUCAAUAGUUUCAUGGCCAUUAGCGCAACUCACACUUUUUAAUAACACAAGACUUAGAGAUAUAAAUAAAUACGAAUUACAAACACACACAUAAACACACACAAUCACACAUUCCAUGCACGAAAUAACAACAAUGUUCUCAAAAUGUUACAUGAGCCAACUUAGAAAUUGAUGAAGAAGUUACAUGAAAACAUUAAGAAGAAUACCAUAAACAAAGCCUAAACUCCUAUAAAUACCUAAACACAUGAACUCCUCAAAGCAUCACAAGUUAAAGCAACAAAGCAAUAAUACACUAUACUUCCUCAUAUUUAAUUAAUUAUUUUAUUUCUAAGAGAAGAGAUAUGGAGAAUAAUGGAAAGGGCAAAAUAGGCACAUCAAACAAUGGAAGCGUGUUUCCAAAGAAAGAUAAGAAGUCAGUGAAGAAAAAAGCAAUUGAAAAGAUAGGUAAAACUGUGGUGUCCACUUUCAAGAAUGAUAAGAAAAAGAUUAACCCCUCUGAUGGCACAUCUUAGUCCCCUUACUAUAAUCAACUUGCUUUUAAGAUUGUGCUAAUAUUAUUGAAUAAUGUAUUUAUUUGAUUCUGAUGUAUUUUGAGGGUUUAACUUAUAUACAUCUCCAGUAUUGUAAAGAUUAAUGUUUACAUUGGUUACCUUCUUUACUAUAUUGUUGAUGUAUAUAAGUUAAACUCAUUUAAUAAACUAUAUAUGAUGUAGUUUAUUUUUUUCUUAUGAGAGUGAUAUUUUCUUUGUUUAAUUAAAACCUUUAAGCAUGUUGUAAUAAGUUGUAACACGAGUUUUCGUUUCCGUUUGUUAAUUUCCCUCUUCAAUAGUGUAAUUUCAUUGUUAAUUUUUAAAUAUAAACUAAAGUGAAGUACUUGGAUUUUGAGAAAUCUUAAUAGCUCAAUUAGUUUUAAGAAAUUAUUAUUAUAUUGAUUAAUUUUACUUUGUUCAUAUUAAUUAGCUCUUGAACGUCGACUCCGACAGGAAGCUCACGAGAGGGAAAGAGAAGAAAAUAACCAAUGACAUUAUCCCAAGGCCCAAGCCAAAAGAAAUUCUUGGGUCUUUAAAGUUUGUUUAAACUUUCAACGACCAUACUAAUUAUAGGAGUAAAAUAAGAAAAAUUUAAUUAAUUCUAUCCUAAUUUAGUAAGUGAUCAAGUAAUAUGAGACAAAUAUUUUUAAUAAGAUGUUUAUUUAAUAUAAAAUGGAGGGAGUAUAUGUUUUCAAGAAACACAGAUAAUUAAUCCACAAAAUUUACAAUAAAUCCCCUUUACACCUUACAAACACAAAAAUACAAAACAAAAAUGAGAACACGAUAAAGGAAUUGAACACAACAAAUUUUGAGAAGAAUUGGCCCACACGCUUAUUACAUUAAAUAAAAUCCUUUUACGUAUUAUUUAGAGCAUGUGUUAUAAUAUAUUUCUUUGAGCUCGAGAUGUUUUUUCAUGUAAAUAUUAUGGUAGGGACAUUUUUUCGUUAUGUAAAUUACUAUCUACAUAUCUUAUUAUGAGUCAAAUUAAAUAGGAGUCAUCUUAAUUAAUCCACACACCCACAAAUUACCCACUCCUCCAAUACACACACACACAACCCAUGCAACAAUAUGAUUUUCUCAAACUUUAUUUUUUUUUGAAAAUAUUAGCAGUUAUGUUGACUCGUAGAACUUUUCGUGUAGUUUUUAAAUUUUAUUUUAAAAUAUUUGAAGAGUCUAUACCUGAAUUCUUAAUUAAAAAAAUUAAAGUUGCCUUGACCCUUGUGUUCUGAACAUCUUCACAUGCAUUGAGGGAGAAAGAAUUCUAAAUAAAAAUUACUUUGAUUUUAAAAACAAAUUUAGAUUGUAUUAAAAAAUUGUACGUAUAGUUUAGUGGUGCAUCAAUACGAACUCACACAUUUUAAUAACACAAGACUUGAGAUAAAAAUAAAUACAAAUUCCAAACACACACAAUCACACAUUCCAUGCAGGAAAUAGACAAUAAUGUUCUCUCAAUCUUACAUGAGGUAACUUAGAAAUUGAACAACAAAUUACUUGAAAACAUUAAGAAGAAUACCAUAAACAAAGCCUAAACUCCAAUAAAUACCUCAACAUAUGAACUUCUCUAAGCAACACAACUUAAAGCAACAAAGCAAUAUAUAAUACACUACACUUGCUCAUAUUCAUAAUUAUUUCUAAGAGGAGAUCAUAUGGAGAAUAAUGGAAAGGGCACAUCAAAGAAUAUUGGAAGUGUGUUCCCAAAGAAAGAUAAGAAGUCAGUGAAGAAAAUGGCUGUUGAAAAGAUUGGCAAAACUGUGGUGUCCACUUUCAAGAAUGAUAAGAAAAAAAUUAACCCAUCUGAUGGCACUUCUUCUUAGUAGUUAGUCCCAUAUCUAUAAUGAACUUGCCUUUGAGAUUAUGCUAAUAUUAUUGAAUAAAUUAAUAUUUAUUUGAUUCUGAAGUUUUCAAGGGUUUAACUUAUAUAUAUCGUCACUAAUAUAAAGAAUUACACUAUUUACCUGAUACUGUUGAUGUAUAUAAAUUAAAUUCAUUAGUGAGAUGGUGUAAUAUUUUGUUUUUCAAAGAGAGUGAUUUUUCCUUUAUUAAUUGACCUUCAAGAAUGCUAUAAACUAUAACAUGAAUCUUCGUUUCCGUUUGUUAGUUUUCUUCUUCUAUAGUGCUAUUCCGUUGUUAAUUUCUCAAUUUAAACUAAAGUGAAGUAUUGAAUUUCUGGGAGUCUUACUACAUACGUAUUCAAUUGAUUGAUUAUCUGAACUUUUACUUGAGGUUCGAUUUUCCGUCCUUAAUUAUAAUCCUUCCCAGCUCAUUUCUGUUGGGAAAGGCAAGCACAAAAUAAAUGUGCACGAUAGGGCAAUAGCGGAAAAAAAACCAAGUCCAAACUUUCCCUUCUAUUUGAACCAAGAGAAUACAAAAUAAUGCAAGAAAAACACCGUUUGGGGCAGCAGACCAAUCAACCAAGCAAGCAAAAUAAAUCAACAAACGAGACACCAAAUUUAACAUGGAAAACCUCUUCGGUGUGAAGGGUAAAAAUCACAAGGCCAAAGCUCCACUAAAAUCAACAAGAGUUACAAAAGUGUUCUCCAAAAUGGCCACCAACAAAGUGCCAAACAAUGAGCAACACAACUACAAGAUAACACCAAAAACUAGAGAAAUAAAAGGAGCAAAAACCCCAAAUACGCAACUACUAUUCACGAGCAAAAAUCUAGAGCUACAGGAAUCCAAACCACUCUCUCAGUUCCCAUUCAAAGAUUAAGUUGAAAGGAACAAGCUGUCCUAAAAUCAGCUCAAUCGGAUAAGAAACAAAACGGGAAUCACAAUUUGAAAUUGACUGCUAGGGCUUGUGCGAAAAUCUACACUCUCUCACUUUUCUCUCUAUAUGGCUGCUCUCAAUCUCUUGUGAUAUUUCAAAAUAAGACCUAAAAAGAAAAUCUUACAUAUGCACCAUAAUAUUGGGCUUAUGGGCAAAAGUGAGUUAGUCAAUUUGGUCUAAAUUUAUCCACAAAGGAAAGAAAGAAAAUCCAAAACCUUGGACUUUUAUUUAUCCACAUAAGAAGGAAAAAAGACCCAAAACCCAACAAUUUCUCCUUCAUCAUUCCCUAUCCUCGUUAUUUUUUAUUUUUAAAAAGAGUACUCGAAUUAUUAUUUUAAUAUGAGGUGAGCAUUUUAAAGAUAAAUAUUGAAAUCACUAUAUCCUAUAACACUGAAGGGUCUCCCUGUCACCGCGAGGAAAUGUUGAGGCAACAAACUCAAAAUGUCUAAAUGAUAUGACAUCAAACUAGGACCCCGACCAGUCUUAACAUAGACUCGAACACGUGUCACCACCCCGACUUGACCCCAAUACCAACCCGAGACACGAUCCUAGCCCCAAUCCUCUAUACUGACUCCAUCCCACCGUAGAACUUGAUUCUCAACUCGACCCUAGCCUAACUCUAGCCCAGGAUUUGAACACCGACCUCAGCCACGACCUGACACCCAAUGACGUUGAUGUUGAGACCUACCCCGAUCUUGAUCCCAGAUUGAAUCAAUCAUGAGAAAAUUGAAAAAUAUGUAAUUGCAUACCAAACACACCCGUUCUCUCAAUUUUACAUGAACUAACUUAGAAAUUCAACCAGAAAUUACAUAAACUGUUAAUUUUAGAAGGUAUUCUAUGUAUUAAUUAAGCAUAAAGUUUUCAAGCAAAAGGUAUAGACAUGAAAAAUUGAAGUUGAAAUUAAUAAUUUGAAUGCGCUUAUCCCUGAAUUUGCGAAAUUAUUAAAUCUUCUAUUACUUUCAUAUUAAUUUAUUUGUGCCAUUAAUAUAUAUUUUAAAACACAUCUAGCUAGCUGACUAUUGAGAUUUAAGAUACUUCUCUAGGUAAGAUUAUGAAAGGGACAUGCUUCCUAUACAAAAAAUUACUAUUUAUAUAUUUUCAAGGCAAAGCGCUAGUAAUGAAGAUAGUGAAAUUACAUGGAAAAAUAAAAUCAAUUUUCUCUUCAAUUGGUUAACUAUUCUUUUAAAAUAAACUGAACAUUUCCUAGAAAUGUAAAACAAAUUAAUUAGAAGUCAUCCUGAUUAAUCUACAAACCCACACAAACCUAUUACCCCAAUAACACACACAACCAUGCAAUAUAAAUAAAUAAACUAUAUAGAAAAUUAGUUUUCAGUAAUUUAAAUUAGCAUGAAAAUUAAUUUCCUAGCUCAUCCACUCACACAAUUUCUUAAUAACACACAUGAUCACUUCACAUUAAAAUUAACAAUCCGAAAGCACACACCCACAUAAACAUAUAUUCCAUGCAAGAAUUUUUAAAAUAAAAUAAUAAUUAGUUUUUGGUAAUUUAGCUUGAACAAUAUAACUACGUAGUUUCCUGGGCUCAACCACACAAACAAGACUUAAUUUCUUGGAUAGUCAUCUCAAGUUAUGAAAAUAACAUACUAUAACUUUUUAUUAUUAUUUGCACAACAAAAUCAUACAACAAUUUUUUUUUUACUCAAACCCCAAAAACCCACACUCACACAUUCCAUGCAAGAAAUAAUUAACAAUCUUCUUUUAAUCUUGCAUAAGCUAAUUACUCAGAAAUUCAACUACGAGUUACAUCAAAACUUUCAUGACCAUAAACAAAAGCGUCAAAACUCCUAUAAAUACCUCAACAUAUGCACUCCUCAAAACAUCACAAAUUAAAAGCAAACAAAGCAUUAAUACACUCCCUCGUAUUCAUAAGUUCUAAGAGGAGAUUAUUGAAGUACUGUGUCUGUGUGAUCAUUUCAUCUAAAAAUUUAAGUUGUUACAGAGAACGACACAGUUUUAUUUACUUAGUUAUACUAUAUUAUCAACAAAGAUAUGGAGAAUAAUGGAAAGGGCAAAGAAGGCACAUCAAAGAAUGGAAGUGUGUUUCCAAAGAAAGAUAAGAAAUCAGUGAAGGCAAUGGCUUUUGAAAAGAUUGGCAAAACUGUGGUGUCCACUUUCAAGAAUGAUAAGAAAAAAAUUAACCCCUCUGAUGGCACCUCCUCUUAGUCCCAAUGAACUUGUUUUUUUUUUUGGAUUGUGGUAAUAUUAUUGAAUAAAGUAUUUAUGUAAUUCAUAUGUAUUCCGAAAGUUUAAAUUAUAUACGUUGACAAUAUUGUAAAGAAUGUUUACAUGAUUUACCUGAUUCCUUAAGUACAAUACUGUUGAUGCAUGUAAGUUAAAUUCAUCAAUAAAUUAUUGUUUAGUAUUAUGUUAUUUUUGUGAUGUUAAUUAGCCUACAAGCUAAGGACGUUGUAUGUUGUUAUAGAGUCUCCAUUUUCGUUUAUUUAAUUUUCCUCCCCAAAAAUGUUACACCGUUGUUAAUUUAUUUUUUUUUAGGUUAAACUAAAGUGGACUACUCACAUUUUUAUUUUCAAAUAGGGUGAAAAUUUAAGGUAAAUAAUGAAAUCACAUUCUAUAAUGCCAAAGGAAACACUUACACACGAUAAAAAAUUUUUGGUUAUCUUAUCGAUACUUGUAUUUCAUACGCAACAACGCAAUAUUAAGAAAUCAAUAUAUAUAAUAGCAAUGAAAAUUAUGAAUCUAGUAUGUAGUAACAAAAUUCAGGGGACAUCAAGCUGACAGACAUUUUUUAAAAUACAUCUAGCUAGUUAAUCGUCGAAAUUAAAGAUGAGUUGUAAUGUGAAUUGAGAAAUUGAAGAAAAUAAGUUAAGAGGAAAAUAAAGUUCAUUUCUUCUUUAUUGAUAGUACUGAAGAAGAGAUUUUUUGUGCUUUCAAAUAGAAAUACUUCUUUUAGCUAUUUAAAAAGAGAGACGAUUCAAAAUUACCUCCCUUUCCAACGUCACCUUCGCAUUUGUCGAUAGCUAUGACUUCGCCUUAUUUGACACAUUGAAAAACAUUUUUUUCUUAUUACUAAAAGCAGAAAGAAUUCUUAUAUUUCUUUCUUUUUUAUUUGCACAAGUUUUUCAAGUAAAAACAGUAAGUGUUAUAUGAUUUACUUCGUUUUUUGAAUUUCACUGAAGUUCUACAAUAUCAAUUACCAGUAUUGCUAAAUAGUGUUUUAUUUUAUUUUGGAAGAAAUUAUUCCAAAUCUUGGACAAGUAUAAAGAAAUUAAAUUCUUUAAGAAAAUGCAAUAUUCUGUAGGCUUGAAACUUUAUUUUUCGUUGAUUAUUUUCAUUUCUGUUUAUAUAUUUUGAUAGUAGAAAUAACAACUUUUUUUCAUGUAAGAUUAUGAUAGACAUACUUCCUUUACAAGAAAAAAAAAUAUAGAAUUUCUGGUAAUGAAGAUAGUAAAAUUACAUGGAAAAGUAAAAUCAAUUUUUUUUUUAUUGGUUAAGAUUUUUUUGAAAUAAACUAUUAUCAUAAGUAUUACGGAGUACUUGAACAUUUCCUAGAAAUGUAUGACAAUCACAUGAUUUUUUUAAAAAAAAUAAAAUAGUAGUCAUCAUAAUUAAUUUACAAACCCACACAAAUCCAUUACCCCUCCAACACACAGACGACAUUUUCAACAUUUUAAGUUAGCAUGAAAAAACUAAAUUCCUACUUUACUGGCUCAUCUACACAUAUGACUUCACAAAUAUUAAAAUGAACAAACCAAAACCACACAAAACACACAUUCCAUUUCAAGAAAAAAAUAAAAUAAAAAUUAGUUUUUGGUAAUUAUUUAACUUGAAAAAUUAAUAGGUAGUUUCCUUGGCUCAACUACACAAACAAGAGUUAAUUUCUUGGAUGGUCUUUUUAUUUGGACAACAAAAUCAUUCAACUAUAAUUUAUUUAUUUUUUUUACUUCAAAUUUUCAUUCUCUCUUUGUUAGCCUUAGAUAAAAAUAUCCAAAAACCCACACUCACACAUUAUACAUAAGCUAAUUACAUAGAAAUUCAACCAGAAUUACAUGAAAACUUUCAUGACAAAAUAAACAAAGGCCUCAAAACUCUUAUAAAUACCUCAACAUAUGAACUCCUCAAAUCAUCACAAGUUAAAGCAAUAAAGCAAUAAUACACUACAUUUCAUCAUAUUCAUAAUUAUUUCUAAGAGAAGAGAUAUGGAUAAUAAUGGAAAGGGCAAAAUAGGCACAUCAAAGAAUAAUGGAAGUGUGUUUCCAAAGAAAGAUAAGAAGUCAGUGACAACCAUGGCUGUUGAAAAGAUAGGCAAAACUAUGGUGUCCCCUUUCAAGAAUGAUAAGAAAAAGAUUAACCCAUCUAAUGCCACCUCCUCUUAGUCUUACUAUUUGGAUUGUGCUAAUAUUAUUGAAUAAAGUAGUUGUUUGAUUCUGAUGUAUUUCUAGGGUUUAACUUAUAUACAUUGAUAUUAUUGUAUAAAGAAUUGUGUUUAUAUGAUUUAACACUGAUUCUUUAUGGUACUGUUAAUGUAUAUAAGUUAAACUCAUUAAUAAAUUAUUGUGUAGUACUAUUAUGUUAUUUUUGUGAGGGUGAUAUUUCCUUUGUUAAUUAUCCUUCAAGACGUUGUAUGUUGUAAUAUUAGUCUCCGUUUUUGUUAUUAUUUUACUCUUUAAAUCGUGUUAUUGCGUUGUUAACUUCUUCUUUUUAAAUUAUUUUUUUUAAACAACAACUAACGUGGAGCACUCAAAUUUUGGAGAAUUUUUAGUAGCUAAGUUGAUUUGCUAUUUGAACUUUCACCUUUUCUGCGGGGAUGACAACGGGGCGAAUGUGGGGUGAGGUGAUUUUAAGGUUGUGCGGGACAUGUUAAAAUAUUUUUUUUUAAAACUAAUACGGGCAAGUUGCGGGUCUAUGCGGUUUUAUACGGGUUCAAACUUAAUUUAAACUUUUUACAUGUUAUAAGAGUGAUAGAGCACCUUUCACAAGUAAGAACUAAGAAUACACAAAAUGACAAAUUCAUUACUCCCUCCGUCCCAUUUUAUGUGAGGUAGUUUGACUCGGCACGGAGUUUAAGAAAGAAAGGAAGACUUUUAAAACUUGUGGUCCAAAAUGAAUGAUAGAAAUUUGUGUAGUUGUAAAUCAUUUCAUUAAGGGUAAAAUAGACAUUUUAUAGUUAAAUUGUUACUUAAUAUAGAAAAUGUGUUAUUCUUUUUGAGACUGGUUAAAAAAAAAGUAAGUCACAUAAAUUGGGACAGAGGGAGUAUUUUUUAUUCAAACUAUAAUAUCAAUUGAAAGUUUUCUUUUAAAAUUAAGUAAAAUAUUGAAGGUUGUAAAUGAAAAUAGUUCAAUCAAAACUAAUACAGUUUCUUACAUGUUUUUUAAUUGACCUCUAAAAAAAAUCAAGUUACUAUUUAUUAAGUUAAUACAACUUAAUGAGAGUAAUAAAUUUAUUUUUAUGAAUUUUAUUUUUUGUGUCAAACUUAAUCAAAAAGGAAAAGUAUUCUUUUUGAGACUGACUAAAAAAAAAAAGUAAGUCACAUAAAUUGGGACAAAGGGAGUAUUUUUUAUUUAAACUAUAAUAUCAAUUGAAAGUUUCUUUAAAUUAAGUAAAAUAUUGAAGAUUGUAAAUGAAAAUAGUUCAAUCAAAACUAAUACAGUUUCUUACAUGCUUUUUAAUUGACCUCUAAAAAAAAUCAAGUCACUAUUUAUUAAGUUAAUACAACUUAAUGAGAGUAAUAAAUUUAUUUUUAUGAAUUUUAUUUUUGUGUCAAACUUAAUCAAAAAGGAAAAGUAUUCUUUUUUAGACUGACUAAAAAUAAGUAAGUCACAUAAAUUGGGACAGAUGGAGUAUUUUUUAUUCAAACUAUAAUAUCAAUUGAAAGUUUCUUUAAAUUAAGUAAAAUAUUGAAGAUUGUAAAUAAAUAUAGUUCAAUCAAAACUAAUACAAUUUCUUACAUGCUUUUUAAUUGACCUCUAAAAAAAAUUAAGUCACUAGUUAUUAAGUUAAUACAAUUUAAUGAGAGUAAUACAUUUAUUUUUAUGAAUUUUAUUUUUUGUGUUAAACUUAAUCAAAAAAGAAAAGUAUUGAAACAAUUAUGCAUGCAGGUUUAUGCGGGGUAAGGUGGGUCGGAUUGAAAAAUAAAAAAAAUUGUCAUGCGAGGUAAGGCGGAGAGGAAAAUUUAUCGGACGUGGUAUACAAAGUAUAAAUUUAGAAAAAUAAACAAUUUUUUUAUUUCACUCUCUCAAAAAGAGAUGUGAGCCAUGGAAACAACGUGUGUUGAAUGGAUACAUUUUCAAUUAAUGAUGUCAUAUACGUAUUCAAGCAAUUUUAAUGUAUAGACAUGAAAAGUUGAAGUUGAAUCAACAAUUUUAGUGCUUAUCCUCAAAUUUCUGAAUAAUUAAAUCUAAUAUUAUUGACAUGAAUUUCUUUGUGCCAUUAAUAAAUCUUUAAAAUAUAUCUAGCUGAUUUGAGCUCUAAGAUAUUUUUCAUGUAAAAUUAUGAUAGGGACACAUUUCCCCUUCAAAAAAUAUAAAAAAAUUAUAUAUGAAAAUGAAGAUAGUGAAAACUGAAAUGACGCAGAAAAGUAAAAUUAAUUUACCAUUUGAUUAAUUCUGUAAAACUAAUAAGUUUGAAAGUUAAUAAAGCUUAAAUAUAAUGAAAUUCCCCUUCCAAAUCCUUAGUAGUGGUUAAAUAUUUUUUUAAAAAUUAGCUAAUAUCAUGAGUAAUAUGGAGUACUUCAUUUCCAAGAAAUGUAUAUAUAUAACUAUUUCAUAGGUCGUUAAUUGAAAUUAAUAAAUAGAAAAAACCAAAAUUAAUUCACGCAUCCACACACAAACCCACACAAACCCAUUCCCAUCCAAUCAAAAACACACAUAUAUACGCACACCCUAUGUAAUAAUAAAUUAUUAUGUUGAACAAUAGUUGUCCACUAUAUUAACUUAGCACAGAGAUUAAAAAGCAGUAAAUGAUAGGGUAAUUUUAUCAAAUCACCCUUAUUAAAUAUAAGCUAUCUAAACAUUGAAAAAUAAAUACAGUAUUUAAUAGCAAUGGUAAAAUAGACACAACAUGACAUUGAUUUUAUAAAUUGAACAAGUAUUGUUGGACAUCCCAAGAUUAUAUAGUGGACAAAUAAAAAUGGACGGAGAGAGUAAAAUAGGAGUAAUAUAUUUUCAAUUUUGAAUAACACACCGGCUUCCAUUUAAAACCCCCCAAAACUCACACAAACACAUAUUCCAUGCAAGAAAUAAUCAACAAUCUUCUUUUAAUCUUACAUAAGCUAAUUACUAAGAAAUUCAACUAAAGUUACAUGAAAACUUUCAUGACAUUAUAAACAAAGCCCUCAAAACUCUUAUAAAUACCUCAACAUAUGUACUCCUCAAAACAUCACAAGCUAAAAACAACAAAGCAUUAAUACACUCCCUCAUAUUCAUAAGUACUAAGAGAAGAGAUUGUUGAAGUACUGUGUGAUCAUUUCAUCUAAAAAUUUAAGUUGUUACAGAGAAUGACACAGUUUAAUUUACUUAGUUACAUAUAUUAUCAAUAAAGAUAUGGAGAAGAAUGGAAAGGGCAAAGAAGGCACAUCAAAGAAUGGAAGUGUGUUUCCAAAGAAAGAUAAGAAGUCAGUGAAGGCAAUGGCUAUUGAAAAGAUUGGCAAAACUGUGGUGUCCACUUUCAAGAAUGAUAAGAAAAAGAUUAACCCCUCUGAUGCCACCUCUUCUUCUUAGUCCCAAUGAACUUUUUUUUUUUUUGAACCCUCAACGUUGCCAUCCCCACAUCUGUUGCAUCGACUGUAUGGGUUGUUGUAUAUCAAGUUAUUAAAUAGGGAUCAACAUUAACUUGGCUUGUUGUAAAUCAAGUUACGCGCGGACGGCGGAGCUAUCAGUCUUAUUUUAUGUUGAUGCUUCACUUAACUCUACGCCAACAAGCAUUCAGACUGCUCCAUUUAAAAAGUAUAUUUUACACCUUUGAUCGUUCACCUCUAAGGUAAAAAAACAAAUCAGAUGCACUUUUUGAACGUAAAAAACGUCAUUCACUUGAUUUGCACACCAGAACGUGUAGAUAUAUAUACAUACAUACAUAUUACUACUCAGAAUAAUCAAACAAACAUAAGUAUGAAGUAACUCUAUGUUAGAGGCAAUAGAGGAUCAUCUAUAUUACAAGUAGACAUUUCAGUGCCCAGGCAUCAUGUUUUAUCAUUGUCAACCCUUCUGGCUAUUUUCUCUCCUCACUGAUAUGCACACCUACACCUCUUUCUAUAGCUGAACCAGCAUUUUGAAACCUUGACUCGAAGUCAAAUGUGACAAGAUAUUCCUUAGCCUCAGGAUUUUAUCGGAACAAAGCAUCAUCGGUAAUGAGAUUAACCCUACGUUUUCAAACCUUCAAGUGCUCUCAGUUUUGUCCACUACAGCAAAACGGUUUUGGUUCAUGCUCAAACCUGAUGUCUGUAACUGUUUUCUCCUCUGAAUAUGAUGCAAGGCAGCUUGUCGAUCAUUACGAGCCUCAGCAGAGUCUGGCUGCAAAACAAGUCCGAUUUAUGGUGCGUAAGUGGUUUACUGAACACGUGAGCAUCAAUUACGAAGGCAAUCAAUCUGACACACUUAGCACAAUAUUCCACUGAACAUUUCAGAACUAGGAUGUGAUAGAAGUAAGAUGAAUAGAGUUAGACAAUUGCUUAAAUCUCAAAAGACAGUUUGUCCUCCAGAUACAAAGGUAGUAAUAUUGACCUUUGGUAUUGGCGUAAUACAUUAAAAGCAAAGAAUAUCCAUUUACUCAUAAAGGAAACAUCUCAGUUAAAAAAGAUCCUCAGAAGAAGCAAGCGUGAGCAUUAGUUAUAAAUUUAAUCUAUACCUUGAUGGCUAGUGCUCUGUCUAAGCUUUCUAUAGCACUGUCAGGCUCACCAUAAUUCAGCUGUGCUCUACCAAGGGUGACCCACGCCUGCAACAGACAGAAGAACUAGCAAUAAGCACUGGAAUAAAGUAGUGUACAUUCUAGUGAUAGUAGAAAUUGACCGUUCCCUAAGAACCAGAAGCUUGCAGUCAACCGCCUUUUAGUCUAAGCUUCAUUUUCCAAAGCUGUAAAUAGUUUGGAUUAUGGAAACGGAAUAGAAAAAGAGAGUGCCUUUUGCUUGAUCAUUCCAUCAAGCUCUAAGCUUAACUAUGCACGCAAGUAUGACCAGGAAGUUCAAAGUGCAAAGCUGCUUCUAUCAUGAGGUAGCUUGUCGGUACACCACUAAUUACCUAUCUUAACCUCUAAAGCCAGUAAUUUAUUACCAAGUGAAGACAUAGAAGCAUUGAAUUUGCAUAGUCUAGGGAAUAGAUGCAGGAAGAGGUAGAACAAAAAGGAAGUAACAUGCACAUUGGGUGAACAAUUAAGGCUGAAAUCCAGAGGACUUUGCACAUGAAAACUAGCCCAUGACACUUAUAGCCAGUUGAAGUUUGACAAAUUAGUCUUAGAAGUAUUGAAACUGAAUAGAUCACAGAUAAAAAAUAUGUUGCGUUGUUCAUCAGGAUCCCCCAUGAUAUUAAGCAAGGAUGGUGAGGGUUCCCAA